GAGGUGCUGAUUUUUUCAGUAUAAGCUGCUGUAUGUGUGCCCACUCACCAACAAACAGCAUUAACUGUUGUAUUUAUGUUACUCUAUCAAUGUUAUUCAUUUUAAAAACAAGUCCUGCCUCUAACACACAAAUGGCCAAUCACUGUUCAGAAUUUUGGAGUGGCGCCUGGGCGGCCAAUCAGAUUGAAAAGGGGGAAUGAAUGCAUAUUCAUAUACCAUUUGUCUUUAUUAAGAGGUUUCAAAUUUGAGCAAAACGAUAGAAUUUUAGGGCCUUAUUUGGUCUCCCUUAUGAGAAGUACAGGAAAGUAAAGAAGACACUUAAAGGUCACACAAAUGAAACUAAAUCUGAGCAUUCAUAAGAUAAUUUUGAACCACAAACUAACUUCAAAAACUGAAACUGAAGCAAUUUUUUUUAAACAGGGAAAUUUACUAACAAACUAAUACAGUUUUCAAUCCUGUCACAACCUUGCAGUAGACAGCUCCAUAAUUCUGUGACAUGUAUUGCACAAGUCGCUGCAAUACAAGUAGAAGACAAGAGCACUGCAAACAGCUGCAGUUCGUACCACAGUGACUUGUUACUUCCUUGUUAUGUAAUUAUGAUGAUGCUCUGCACACAGUCAUAGUGCAGCCUACAAACAACAACACCGCGCUCAGUCAGUGACAGAAGUGUUGCACUCUGGGUGCUUAUUACGACAUUUUAAGAAAAUGAAAAUAAAAGUGCUCAUUAUGACGCAAUAUGAAAAUAACGGUGCGCAGUCACUGCACAACUGCAUCUCUGUGAAUACAACAAAAGCACCUCACAUAGCCAUGGUGCAUCUAGCAGUCAUUGCAUUCUAUAGAAAUAUACAAACAACUCUGCAGAGAGCCACAGUGCAUAUAAGAAAAACAAGCAAUUGACACAGCCACAUUUAGUGAUGUUAUGUUAUAAUGUAUCCUACCAAAGAGGAUAAGGGCCACUGUAAAGCAAAAUAAAAAACAGUCCAAUGUAACUUUUUGGUUCAUAUUCUGAGAACUUAAACUAAGAAUUCUUACUUUUUUUUAAAUCCUGACCUUAAUCUCAUACAUCUGACUUUAUUCUCAGAAUUCUGACUGAUUUUGAAAUUCUGACUUUAAUCUUAGAAUUCUGUUUUUUUUUUUAAGAAUCCUGACUAUUCUCAGUACUCUGACUUUUUUAGGGAUCCUGACUUUAAUCUCAGAUUCUGACUUUAUUCUCAAGAUUCUGACUUUUUUAGGAAUCCUGAUUUUAAUCUCAGAUUCUGACUUUAUUCUCAAGAUUCUGACUUUUUUAGGAAUCCUGAUUUUAAUCUCAGAUUCUGACUUUAAUCCCAGAAUUCUAACCCUUUUUAGAAUCCUGACUUUAUUCUCAGAACUCUUACUUUUUUUUUAAUCCUGACUUUUAUCUGAUAAUUCUGACUUUAUUCUUUGAAUUCUGACCUUUUUUCUCAGAAUAAUAAUUUAAAAAAUUAGAUUUUUUUUUUCCAGUGGCCCUUAACCUCUUCCAUUGUAUCCAAAUCAGAACAUUAAAAAGAGUAUCUAUCUAUCACACAGCUUCAUCAGAGCAUCAAUAGAUUGAUACACACAGCUACAGUCCAUCUCUCAUGAACUUUGCCAGAAUGAGACAAAACAACAGGAAAUGUUUCAGGAAUUUAACCUCAACAUAAACUCAACACUGCACUCUGCAGAAGUACACACCACACUGACUUCAUCCAAGAAUGGAAAAAGGCCGCCCAUGGCCACUCUGAAUAUUAUAACAGCUUCAUCAACAUAUUAAGCCAUGCACUUUAUGAUAUUAUGGGUAGAGCUCUGCACAGACAUUGUGAAUAUUACAUUAACUUCAUUUGACUGUAAAAGCACAUCACCACAGUGUGAUGUCUUCAUCAAUUCUGAAGUGUAUGCAGCAGGCUUUGCUAUUUCUUUUAUGACUUUAACAGAAAAGGAGAAGAACAAUGCGCAGCGACACUGUUCAUAUAAUGGCGACUGGACCCAAACAAUCAAGACUCACAGCAACAGCUUUAUGUAAAAAAAUUAUAUUAUCUUACCUUCAUUUGGUUCAUAAGCUUUUCUCCUCCACCUAGACACCCCCGCAGGAAAACUGAGGUUGUCCUCUAUCAGCGUGGAGUCCUCCUCCAACCCGCCAUUUAAAACCAGUGUUGGGGAAAUGCUUGAAGUAACACCGUCCACUUGAGAUUCACAGGCUGGAAGCAGGAAAAUAACACAUGUCCAACACAUGUGAGACUCUCCUUAGAGUUCAUUCCAGUUUGUUCGAAUGAGUUCAGCAGAGAAAGAAAGAUGUUGAGAUGUCCUUAAAGGCCACACUUGCUCCUGCUAUUUUGUGUCCCUUCAUUUGCAAUACUUUUCAUGGUUCUAUGACACAGAUCGGUCUCUGUUUCUCUGCCUCACUUUUCAGCUGGUUGUCUCCUUCAUCUGUGCAAAAACCUUUGACUGGAUUGCCAAAGAAAGUGGUGGGACAGCAGGUUUGGCAGAUUUCUUGUUGCCCAAAGGAGAGCGUUCAUUUACAGUGACUAGGAUUACCAAUGAAACCUUAAAAAACACCAAAUGUCUGCGGAAAAUGAUUUAAAUUUACUCAUGAAUUCAUCAAAGUACCACCACAUGGGAGAAAACUUCCUCUUGUUCUUCUUCUUCAAUGGAGUUUAUUGGCAGUUGGCAAACCAAUUUUACCGCCACCUACUGGACUGGUGAAAACUUCUUCUGGAUUUUUAGGAUAUUCAAAUAACACACUGACUUCAGCAGUUCCUGGGCACCAAUACUCAGGAGGGUGGACCUCAAUAUUUAUCUUGAGCUGAGGGACUCAAAUGCACGACUACAGCAGUAACAAGUUGUAUAUUUUUCUUAUUAGAAUCUGAAACAGGUGAAUCAUGUCUUUUAACUGUUGAAAAAUCUAUGAAAUGACCAAAUGUUGAACAUGGUUGAGUCAGAGAAACCCCCGAUACUUGGUAUGACCCGCUGAUGUCACAAAAUACACUCCUAAGUGUACAAAAAACCAGGAAGUGCUGGGUCGGCUCAUUUAAGGGAGCCCAAAAAGGUAAGAAUGGGCAAAAAAACAUGUAUAUAUAUAUUUAUUUUUUUAAGUCCUUAAAGACUGAAACUGUCUCAUGUUAAAAAAAACUGUAUCAAGCAUUUUUGAACCACCUGUGACUUUUUAUUUGGGAAGCUCAGACACUUUCUACAGAAACAGUACAUUUCAGUCAAGUAAAACAAGCUUUGGAGAUUUGGCUUCAUCUGUCUAUCCCCAAUGGACUGUAGAAGAGUUUAGGUUAUUAAAUCUUCUUUGAGAAACUUUUGGUUUGUCUUGACUCUCCUUCAGCAGCCACUUGUUUGUGGGGGAGCCCUGACGAGUACAGCGGAUCGUUUACAUUAAGUCCUAAUGCGGUAGUUCUUCUGCCUUAGCGUCUCAGUCCGAUUGCAUUUCCAUGAAGUAAUAAUCAUAAAUGUUCUUCCUUGAGCUGCGAAACUCCGCUGCACUCGGUGAUCGACUCGUCAGGGCUCCCCCCCACAAACAAGUGGCUGCUGGAGGAAAGUGGGUGAGUUGUGUUUAGUCUCUUUGCUAAAGAAAUCAGGUAAAGCUAAAAAGAUGUUCGGUGGCUAGUUCUAUGGCCAGGACCCUAUAUGUCCUGUUGAUUAAGUUAGUGCUGUUCUGAGCAUUAUUUGUGGCUAUAGAGUGGCGUUUUUGUUGAGGUUUGCGCAUGGAGGUGUAGACCGCUGUGUAUUGCUAUCGUGCGGUCGAUGCUGAAGUUGGUGUAACUAGAGAAACAAGCAGUCGUCAACAAUUAUCUCUUGAGGGGAUGCCUAACUCGGUGUUACACUGUAUUUGACCAUGACUUAAAUUUUCGCCGGAAUAUCCCUUUAAGACAAGGGUUUAAUAUUCUGAGAACAAUCAUGAGUCUUAAUGCCAUAUUGUUUUUCUUCCCCCAAAAUCUCUACUUUUCCACCUUAAUAAGUUUCCACCUCUUCAUUAUCUCAUUUAAAUAAAUCCUUUCAAUACUUUCAGUAAUUUCAUGCAGGGUUUAAUUAAGGCACAGCUUACAGAUUUACUACCUUUCAUGGGAAAGUGGCUAUUAAUGCCUCAAUCCAAACAAGACACUAUAAAUAAUACAACAACCAGCUUUUAUUUGUGUGAGUCUUGUGGGUAGGUUAAAAACACAGCUGUUGACUGUCAGCUGCACGACUCCUCAAACAGCCGUUAAUCACUCGUGCUCCUCGUGUGCAGUGAGUUCCUGAUCCUCUGAUUUGCCGUCACUUGCUUCACAUAGAAGCCAGCUUUGAAGAGAAGAGACAGGGAAUAGGAAUCUGUUCAACCAGGAGAUAUUGGCAAAUUAUAGUCUCCUUCUACAUCCCUGUGGCAUUUUUAUUGGAGGAAAUAAGGCUGUAAAUGAAAGUCAGAUAUGGAGUAGAGGAUGUUGGGGACAGGUAAAUACAUUAAAAUAAAAAAAAAUGUUUUAGCGACUGAGUUUCAUUUGCAAUUGAUUUGGGUCCAAAAAGGAAAAAAGGGAUGAAAUUGAAAAAUAAGUGAACACUGAUAGUAUCAUGGCUCUGAAAAAUACAGCGUAGAUGUCGCACUAAAAUCGUUCACAGCUGAGAAUUACAUCAGCGUCUCCGGCAUAAAGUUUCCUCUCACUGCUCAGACCUAUUAGCUCAUGCAGCGCUUGUAAAAAAGCACCGCGACACAAUUUACGGGCUCUGUCAAGAACAACAUUACCAACUUUUAUUCAUCUUGUAAAUUUUAUUUUGCAUUCAUCAGUGUCUGUCUCGGAAAAUAAAAAGAAGGAGUAAUAGCAGCAAAGACAAACAGGCCCCGUGACAAAGGGAAUCCUCCGCUCUUACAAGGUCAUUAAACUCAAAAAGAUACAACCCACUGAGAUGUAUAAACUUCACAGCAAGCUAUAAAUUUAAGAGAGGCAUUUCGACUGAGAUUCAUGCCCCUCCCUCAGAAAUAUAGGACACAAAGGUGACAAUGUAUGUUGAUGUGGCUCUGUUGCUGAAGGCCAAAAAUGUGUGUGAUAAACAAGAACCUCAGGGCUCCCACCACAGAUGGAAACCAGAUUGCAUGGUUUUAAAUCAACAUUUUUAAGCCAAGGAUGCUCAUAAAUACACACCUAAGAACAGUUUCAAAGUAGUUCACACUGAGUGUUCAAUCUUCUGUUGAAGCCUGUCAAGUGUUUGGUAUAAAUCUCUCUUCUACUCUUGCAUUUAGGCAUCUCUAAAGCAGAGGCUGGUUCAACAAUAAAGUAAUCCUGAUGCAGAGUGAAUAAUGUUCCAGUCUUGAUGAUACGGCAAUUUUAUCAAAGAGGUCCACAUUUCUAUUUUCAAGGACCCUGCUUUUAAAAUUCUGACUUUUUUUUUAAGAAUUCUGACUUUAAUCUCAAAAUACUGAGAAAAAAGUCAGAAUUCUGACUGUAAUUUUAGAAAUCUGACUUUGAUUCUUUAAUCUCAGAAUUCCAACUUUAAUCAAAGAAUUGAGAAUUUGAUCCCAGAAUUCUGACUUUAAGAAUUCUGACUUUUUUUUAGAGUCCUGACUUUAAUCUUCGAAUUCAGACUUUAAUCAGAUUUAUUUCAAUUUUGAUCUCAGAAUUCUGACUUUUAUCAUAGAAUUCUGACUUUAAUC